rnacentral:rRNA from 1 species
GACGAACGCUGGCGGCGUGCUUAACACAUGCAAGUCGAACGGAAAGGCCCAGCUUGCUGGGUACUCGAGUGGCGAACGGGUGAGUAACACGUGGGUGAUCUGCCCUGCACUCUGGGAUAAGCCUGGGAAACUGGGUCUAAUACCGGAUAUGACCAACUGUCGCAUGGUGGUUGGUGGAGAGCUUUUGCGGUGUGGGAUGGGCACGCGGCGUAUCAGCUUGUUGGUGGGGUAUUGGCCUACCAAGGCGACGACGGGUAGCCGACCUGAGAGGGUGAUCGGCCACACUGGGACUGAGACACGGCCCAGACUCCUACGGGAGGCAGCAGUGGGGAAUAUUGCACAAUGGGCGCAAGCCUGAUGCAGCGACGCCGCGUGAGGGAUGACGGCCUUCGGGUUGUAAACCUCUUUCACCAGGGACGAAGCGUGAGUGACGGUACCUGGAGAAGAAGCACCGGCCAACUACGUG